rnacentral:rRNA from 1 species
GGAAGGAUCAUUAUCGAAGUCGAGCGCUAGGGGGGAAAGGGGGGGUCCGACUGUCGCCGGCCUCUUGGGCGCGUGCACGUCGCUCCCUCGGAACCCCCGAAGCUUUCAACCUUCUCCACACCCUUGUGCACCCGCUGUAGGUCCUUCGGGACCUACGUCCUCUCUCUCGAACUCGUAUGUCUACAGAACGUGCAUGUAGCGUCGACCGGCGUUCGCGUCGGCGACCACAAACCUUUGUACAACUUUCAGCAAUGGAUCUCUUGGCUCUCGCAUCGAUGAAGAACGCAGCGAAUCGCGAUAAGUAAUGUGAAUUGCAGAUUUUCCGUGAAUCAUCGAAUCUUUGAACGCACCUUGCGCUCCUCGGUAUUCCGAGGAGCAUGCCUGUUUGAGUGUCAUCGAAAUCUCGAACCGAAGCCUUCGACCCGUUCGAAGCUCGGUAUCGGAACGUGGGGGUCUGCGGGCGGCGACGUCGGCUCCCCUCAAACGCAUUAGCUGUGGGCACGAGCCCUGCGUGGCACGGCCUCCUCGACGUCAUAACGAUCGUCGUGGGCUGGAAGCGCACGGAUCGACGACACCAUGCUUUCCAACCUCCUCGCGGGACGACCGCGAGCGAAUCGAAGCUUGACCUCAAAUCAGGUAGG